rnacentral:rRNA from 2 species
GAGGAAGUUGCGGCGGCUUACACAUGCAAGUCGAACGGGCACCUUCGGGUGUCAGUGGCAGACGGGUGAGUAACACGUGGGAACGUACCCUUCGGUUCGGAAUAACUCAGGGAAACUUGAGCUAAUACCGGAUACGCCCUUUUGGGGAAAGGUUUACUGCCGAAGGAUCGGCCCGCGUCUGAUUAGCUUGUUGGUGGGGUAACGGCCUACCAAGGCGACGAUCAGUAGCUGGUCUGAGAGGAUGAUCAGCCACACUGGGACUGAGACACGGCCCAGACUCCUACGGGAGGCAGCAGUGGGGAAUAUUGGACAAUGGGCGCAAGCCUGAUCCAGCCAUGCCGCGUGAGUGAUGAAGGCCUUAGGGUUGUAAAGCUCUUUUGUCCGGGACGAUAAUGACGGUACCGGAAGAAUAAGCCCCGGCUAACUUCGUGCCAGCAGCCGCGGUAAUACGAAGGGGGCUAGCGUUGCUCGGAAUCACUGGGCGUAAAGGGCGCGUAGGCGGCCGAUUAAGUCGGGGGUGAAAGCCUGUGGCUCAACCACAGAAUUGCCUUCGAUACUGGUUGGCUUGAGACCGGAAGAGGACAGCGGAACUGCGAGUGUAGAGGUGAAAUUCUUAGAUAUUCGCAAGAACACCAGUGGCCAAG